rnacentral:tRNA from 3 species
GGGCACAUAGCUUAGCUGGUAGAGCAGCCGACUCUUAAUCGGCAGGUCGACGGUUCGAUCCCGUCUGUGCCCACCA